UGCCCCGAUAGCCCAACCGGCAGAGGCGUUCGGCUCAAACCCGAUCCAGUGUGGGUUCGAAUCCCACUCGGGGCACCC
rnacentral:tRNA from 1 species